AUGAGUGGCGAACGGGUGAGUAACACGUGGGAAACCUACCUCUUAGCAGGGGAUAACAUUUGGAAACAAAUGCUAAUACCGUAUAAUAAUUAAAACCGCAUGGUUUUAGUUUAAAAGAUGGUCUUGCUAUCACUAAGAGAUGGUCCCGCGGUGUAUUAGUUAGUUGGUGAGGUAAUGGCUCACCAAGACAAUGAUACAUAGCCGAGUUGAGAGACUGACCGGCCACAAUGGGACUGAGACACGGCCCAUACUCCUACGGGAGGCAGCAGUAGGGAAUCUUCCACAAUGGACGAAAGUCUGAUGGAGCAACGCCGCGUGUGUGAUGAAGGGUUUCGGCUCGUAAAACACUGUUGUAAGAGAAGAAUGACAUUGAGAGUAACUGUUCAAUGUGUGACGGUAUCUUACCAGAAAGGAACGGCUAAAUACGUGCCAGCAGCCGCGGUAAUACGUAUGUUCCAAGCGUUAUCCGGAUUUAUUGGGCGUAAAGCGAGCGCAGACGGUUAUUUAAGUCUGAAGUGAAAGCCCUCGGCUCAACCGAGGAAUUGCUUUGGAAACUGGAUAACUUGAGUGCAGUAGAGGAAAGUGGAACUCCAUGUGUAGCGGUGAAAUGCGUAGAUAUAUGGAAGAACACCAGUGGCGAAGGCGGCUUUCUGGACUGUAACUGACGUUGAGGCUCGAAAGUGUGGGUAGCAAACAGGAUUAGAUACCCUGGUAGUCCACACUGUAAACGAUGAGUGCUAGUUGUUCGAGGGUUUCCGCCCUUGAGUGACGAAGCUAACGCAUUAAGCACUCCGCCUGGGGAGUACGACCGCAAGGUUGAAACUCAAAGGAAUUGACGGGGACCCGCACAAGCGGUGGAGCAUGUGGUUUAAUUCGAAGCAACGCGAAGAACCUUACCAGGUCUUGACAUCCUUUGACCACUCCAGAGAUGGAGCUUUCCCUUCGGGGACAAAGUGACAGGUGGUGCAUGGUUGUCGUCAGCUCGUGUCGUGAGAUGUUGGGUUAAGUCCCGCAACGAGCGCAACCCUUAUUGUUAGUUGCCAGCAUUUAGUUGGGCACUCUAGCAAGACUGCCCGGUGACAAACCGGAGGAAGGCGGGGAUGACGUCAAAUCAUCAUGCCCCUUAUGACCUGGGCUACACACGUGCUACAAUGGCAAGUACAACGAGUCGCCAACCCGCGAGGGUGCGCAAAUCUCUUAAAGCUUGUCUCAGUUCGGACUGUAGGCUGCAACUCGCCUACACGAAGUCGGAAUCGCUAGUAAUCGCGGAUCAGCACGCCGCGGUGAAUACGUUCCCGGGUCUUGUACACACCGCCCGUCACACCAUGAGAGUUUGUAACACCCAAAGUCGGUGAGGUAACCUU
rnacentral:rRNA from 1 species